rnacentral:misc_RNA from 1 species
GAUGAAGAACGUAGCGAAAUGCGAUAAGUAAUGUGAAUUGCAGAAUUCAGUGAAUCAUCGAAUCUUUGAACGCACAUUGCGCCCCCUGGUAUUCCGGGGGGCAUGCCUGUUCGAGCGUCAUUUCACCACUCAAGCCUCGCUUGGUAUUGGGCAACGCGGUCCGCCGCGUGCCUCAAAUCGACCGGCUGGGUCUUCUGUCCCCUAAGCGUUGUGGAAACUAUUCGCUAAAGGGUGUUCGGUAGGCUACGCCGUAAAACAACCCCAUUUCUAAGGUUGACCUCGGAUCAGGUAGGGAUACCCGCUGAACUUAAGCAUAUCAAUAAGCGGAGGA